rfam:Glycine max cultivar Williams 82 chromosome 4, whole genome shotgun sequence.
GGGAUAUGAGGAGUGGUAAAAAUCUCGCACGAAAUAUGCGAGUGGGGUGUCCGCCCCAGCCUGGUUACGACAACUGGGCACUCUCCCUUGAACCAAUCUGAUCCC